UCCCUUAGCUCUCUUUCUUCUCAUCUCAGAAAAAAGCUCAGAGUUUUUAUGGAAACAAGGAGAGAGAAAGCUAGAGAGAGAAAAUAUGUCUUCCUUCAACAACAAUGGCGAUGAGCUCAAAACCACCAAUCAUCCCUUCGAUGAUGGUUAUGGGAGCUUGUGGAAGAUGAUUCUUGAUGUCGUUUGCUCCGAUCUUCAGGUUUCGCGGGGGAGGUGAUAUUUUGAAUCAAUUAUACUAUGAAUCAAUUUUUAUAUCAUUUUUUCCAACCUAGAUCCAAUAAGAUUAUUGAUUACAGACUUACGGUUGUGGAAGAUGAGUUUCCGAUCUUCAGGCAAAAGGAGAAGAUGGAACCAGGUUUGGUGGACUUGAGUUUGAGGUGAAUAUAUUGAGCUUGAGAGGUAAUUUGUUGAUUCUCCAAUGCUGUUAUCUCUGAUCUCCAGGUAUAAUUUUGUCUCCUUUCACUUUCGUGUUCUAAUUGGUUUAAUAUUUAGCUCUUUGAUUAGAUUUUUCCUUUUGUUUGAAUGUUGACUGAUUUAAUUUUUGUUAAUUUCUGAUUUUUUUCCACAAAUGGAUUUUCUGGUUCUUUUUCUAUUUCUUUUUUCUAAAAAAAAAAAAAAAAAAAAAAUUGCUUCUGAGUUUCAUUCAGUUUUUUGCUGAGUGUCAAUUUCCUCCUCCAUAGAAGCAGCUUCUUGAUAUAAGAUCUGUAUCCUUCUUAUAAUCAUCUAAUAUGAAUUUGACAAUAUAGGGUAUAGCUUUUGUAUCGAAUUGUCUAUCUAUGCCCAUAUUACUUUACUUCCAUAAAAAGAGGAAAGACUGUUUGAUUACUAAUAAUUUAAGUAUUUGUGUAGUGAGUAUUGAAGGGUUUAUUUUUUGAUGAUGUUUAUACAGAUUUGUGGAUUAUGGGUUGUUUGUAUUUGUAUCGUUCAUUAUUGAUUUUGUUGUGAUUAUGACUAAUUUUAUAGUUGUAAUAAGAUUGAGUUAGUGAUGCUUGUGUUAUUUUAGAAUUUCUGAAUUACAUUCAUUAGUAUUGAUAAUUAGUGACCUGUUUUAAAUUUGGUUGAAAAUUUGCUAUUUAAUUUAUUACCUUUUGUUCUGCUAAGAUAAUUGGGGUACUGUUCUAGAAAAUAGGAAUACAUAUGUCAAUGAAUAAGUGAAAUGUUAAAGUUUGAAUAUAUUUGAUUGUUCUAUUUGUAGGAUUUUGUGUAGGUUGUAUGCAAAUGGCUUUUAAAUCCUUUAUGCAGAGUUGCUCAAAUCUGUCAGCUAGCCCUGAUACAACUAAGUUGUAGUUCUCGCUUGCUCGCCCUGCUUUGUUGAGUUACAGGGGAAAAGAGGAGGAGAUCGAGGAGAUCGAGAAGAUCGAAGAUAAUCUCAGAGAAGUUCUCAAGCAUUCCGCUCAAAUGCUUUCUGAACUCUGAACUUCAUAAGUAUCUUGAACUCUCUUAACGUUGAUAAGAGCCCUUUUCAAUGAACAAUUGUGAAUCAGAUUUCGAGCUACUGCUAUAGGUGAAGUGAUGUGCAGAGAUGUCAAGAAAUUAGAGGUUUUUCAAAGAUCAAAUCAGCAAAGCUGGCUUGUUAGUUUCUGGUCAUCCUGGGAUGCAAUCUGAUGGUCUUGAUCUUGAGUUAGAGGAAUAGGAAGCUGAAUGCAAGUAAAGGUUGGUCAUGAAAAAAGUUGUGAGUCUAUUUUACGAAGACUUAGGGGAAAGAAAUUUGAUAUAGCUCAUGAAGCAGCUCAAAUCAAAGUAAUACACAUCAUUCAAUAGAGUAUUAGAGAACUUAAACUACUUGAAUUUGUCUUAUUAUUCAACCUACAAACUAAACUUAAUCAUUUAGAAAUUACAUGACCUGAUGUUAACAUAUACGGAGUAUUAUAACUUCAAAAUUGAUCUAACCCAAAUAAAAAAUCAUUGUGACAUAUACUCGGUUUCAUGAUUACUACAGAUCUACCCAGGAGGAAUGGGAGGGAUACCAUUUGUUAUAAUGUCAGAGGUAAGCCAUGGUAAUGCAUAAUAAUGUUGUGUGUGCCUAAUGCCCGUUUCUAGAAGAACUAACAAAAGACUAACAAAACUAUGUCAAGACUUGGUUCAAUCAGCCUGCUCGUAAAACUAGAAGAGUGCGUAAGUUUACUUGCAUCUCAUUAGAAGAAGGUCGAGGUCUGGGGUAUCUGCUUAUGGAAACAAUUGAUUGGUUUUGUUGGGUUUUAAUAAUAAAUUAUGGGUACCGGAUAAUUUUUGCCAGACUGUUAAUUUUUUUUUUCUUUUUUUGGUGAAGAUAAGUAGGUAAUCCAUUUCAGUGUUUUAGUUUAAGAUAGCUUUAAAAUGUCCUUGAAUAGUUUCUUACAUUUGAUGUUACUCAGAUGGAUAUUUUGAGAAUUUAAGAUUAAUCAUAAUUAGUGGCUUUGUUCUUCCAUUUGUAUGAAUGUUACAUAUCACGUUAUGUAUACAAUUUCAAUUUUAUUA